rnacentral:rRNA from 1 species
ACGGGAGGCAGCAGUGGGGAAUAUUGGGCAAUGGGGGGAACCCUGACCCAGCAACGCCGCGUGAAGGAAGAAGGCCCUCGGGUUGUAAACUUCUUUUACCAGGGACGAACAAAAUGACGGUACCUGGAGAAAAAGCAACGGCUAACUACGUGCCAGCAGCCGCGAUAAUACGUAGGUUGCAAGCGUUGUCCGGAUUUACUGGGUGUAAAGGGCGUGUAGGCGGAGAAGCAAGUCAGAUGUGAAAUCCCGGGGCUUAACCCCGGAACUGCAUUUGAAACUGUUUCCCUUGAGUAUCGGAGAGGCAAGCGGAAUUCCUAGUGUAGCGGUGAAAUGCGUAGAUAUUAGGAGGAACACCAGUGGCGAAGGCGGCUUGCUGGACGACAACUGACGCUGAGGCGCGAAAGCGUGGGGAGCAAACAGGAUUAGAUACCCUGGUA